UUUAAAAUCCAGCGCACUAGAUAGUUUUUUUCAGUAGUUAGGGGGCGGGGAUUAGGACAGCCUUUGUGUAGCCCACUUGAAAGCGGUACGGGGUGUGGACUCCCAACAAGCUCACUCCUGACUGGCCAGCGGGGUUGUCAUAGAAACGAUUACACAGACGGACUCGGAUCAAUCACAGUUUUCAUGGCGGUGUCAACUGAACUGAUGUCCUUAUGUUGGAGCCAGAAGUAAACAGUUGGUGUGUUUGAGAUGACUAACGCCUCGCCUGGAUCGUUGGAGAGACCAGGCGGCUGCAGACGGGGGCGGGGAAAGGCGCCCAAGAUAAAGCCCCUUAUUUUGGUUUUGAAAAAGGUCAAACUUGUGGAUUGAUGGAGGCGCCUUGAUUUGAUUGGCAGAUGCCGGGACGAAUGCAUAUGCAUCCAAGCAAUCAGUGAGUCGGCACAUUUCCAUAAUGAGGUUCAGGAGGUGAAACAAAGAUCUAUCCGCCAGCUCUUCUUCUCCCCUUGUUCCUCUGCUGGUGGUCUUAUUAAAUCCUCUCCAUCUGUA